AAAUUUUGUUUGGUGACUCAUAUACUACAUUUGGAAUGAUACAGAGAAGAUUCGCACGACCCCGAGCAAUGAUGACACACAAAUUUGUGAAUUGUUCCAUAUUUUU